ACUUGAAUAGCUUAUAUUUAGAGCAUGGCUUUGAAGCGGCUAGGGAGAUAAUUAUCUUUAAGUA
rnacentral:tRNA from 1 species